rnacentral:sRNA from 1 species
AUAUUUAAGAAAUCCAUGUUAUAGUUAGUUUAUUGAUUUUUGUAUCGGAUUAUUUUGGUUUUUGUUGUUUUAUGAACUUCUUCCAAGUGCCAUUCAAGAACUAUAAAAAAUUUAGCAACAUCACAAGGAGGAAACAUAUUAUGACAAAAGGUAACGUAAAAUGGUUUAACGCAGAAAAAGGAUUCGGUUUUAUUGAAAGUGAAGACGGCGGAGACGUAUUCGUACACUUUUCAGCUAUCCAAGGAGACGGAUUCAAAUCUUUAGACGAAGGUCAAGCUGUUGAGUUUGAUACUGAAGAAGGCAACCGUGGACCACAAGCUGUAAACGUAACUAAAGCUUAAUUUUAAUU